AUACGUAGGUGACAAGCGUUAUCCGGAUUUACUGGGCGUAAAGGGCGUGUAGGCGGUCUUGCAAGUCAGAAGUGAAAUUCCUGAGCUCAACUCGGGCGCUGCUUCUGAAACUGCAGGACAUGAGUGCUGGAGGGGAUAGCGGAAUUCCUAGUGGAGCGGUAAAAUGCGCAGAUAUUAGGAAGAACACCGGUGGCGAAGGCGGCUAUCUGGACAGUAACUGACGCUGAGGCGCGAAAGCGUGGGGAGCAAACAGGAUUAGAUACCCUGGUAGUCCACGCUGUAAACGAUGAUUACUAGGUGUGGGGGGACUGACCCCUUCCGUGCCGCAGUUAACACAAUAAGUAAUCCACCUGGGGAGUACGGCCGCAAGGUUGAAACUUAAAGGAAUUGGCGGGG
rnacentral:rRNA from 1 species